UCACUUGAUUAUAAAACGCUCUCUUUUAGCUAGAGUUGAAGUUAAUAAAACACUCUAAAAAAGGAGUUAGCGUUUAGUUAUAACAACACGCUCUUUUGCAUUAGAGUUACCGUUACGUAUUGUACAAUAUCCUUAACGAUCUCUCGUUUAUGUAACUUGUACAGGGUAAAAGUGUUUCAUAUAGACUUUAGUAGUAAAUGUAUAACAUUUACACUAUAUUUCUCUAUACUCUAGAAAGUUUCAUUUUAAACGUCAUCUCUCUUUCGGAUUUGACGUUGAAUGUCAUUCGGCAUCCGACUAAACGUAGCAUGUCUUAUUAGAUACCUGAUUAGGCGUUCUGUGCAGUUCGGUCUCCAGGGUUGCCUUCUUUACGUUCCCGAAUAGGCCUGUAUGUUAUUUCAACCUUCUGAUUUAACUUCACAGUGUUUUCCUAUUCUAAGUGAUAGAGAGAUAGACAAGCACACCAAUUUUGGGUUAGCUAACUAAGCAUCGUUUGGUGGUUGCGGCAGCGCCGGUGAACUCUAUUCGAACGGCCGGCCUCCAGUAACGGCGAACAACGGUGCCGCCGCGCCUCCCGCGCUCAGGUCGUCGCGCCUGCUGGCGCACCGCUGCUCCCGCACUCCGCGCCGGGACGCGAUCAGCAGAAGCGGCUGCGGCCGGCGACCACGCAGUUCCCGAGCUACGGAGACACAACAGCGUACCGACUCCCGUCGGCUACGCACGCGACGUUACUGCUCCCGAUGUCUAUCUACCUGCGGUUACGGGACAAGAAGUAAGUGCUCCGCUCCAACGGCGUACCUUCGAGAAGACGGCCCCACUCCCGGCGGCAAAAGGUGCGGGCUCCCGCAGCGGCGAUGUCGGUGGUGCCGGCGAGUACCAGGCGGGCGCGACCUUCCAACCUACCGGAACAGGAACCGGCGAGGCCACGGCGGUGCGGGCUCUCGCAACAGCAGUAUCUGCUGGCACGACUGCUUCUGGCAGCUAUACCCGCGGCGGCAACCGCCUCCCUCAGCGACGUCUCCCAGCCUACUCUCGGCACCGGAACCGGCGGCGGCGGCCCCUUCCCGAGAGGUGCGACCUUAGCGAGUCAGCCCUCGCACGACUAUUACACACUACUUAUCUUAACAUAGCUCUCUCUGUUUCCUUGUUUACUGAGCUUGGUGUGAAAUAACUGCUACUUACUCGUGAAUAUAUGUUACCCUUGUCAACGGAGCCUCCCUGUGCUACCAGGUAUCUCUACGGUAAGGUCCUUGGCUGCACUGCCAACGACCUUCACACGUUG
rnacentral:rRNA from 1 species